rnacentral:sRNA from 1 species
GUUAUUUGUAAAAUUCAGGGGCGGCUAGUAUGUUUAGUUACAAGUGAAGUAACGAGUGCCUCGCAGUUUCUGCCACUUGCUCUGUUUUGCAUAGAAUAAACCGUACAUGAAUAAAUACAUAUGUACGCUUUUGGGUUCAAUUGUUACGCGCGGGAGCCUUGGCAGCAACACUGAGAUACAAUAAUGGCAUGCAGUCCUCAAUCCGGUAGCAGAGGCUACAUAUUAAACGGAGUAUUUUCAUUUUUCGUUGCAGUAACGUUGGGAAAAGGUUCAGUAGCUGAUAAUCCUACAAUGUUAUAAGUGCUCCGUAACUAUAGAAAAAUACGUCGUAGAAAACCGAACAAUUACGACCCCCCUUGUGCUUCGAAAUUUUGAGGAGAACGCUGGUUACACGACCCCCUGCCCAUACUCAACAAUUGUGCUUGAAAACAAUUUCAAUUUUACACUUGCAGAAUGGUCAAAAGCAAAGAAGCUGUGAAAAGAGGAUGUGCCCAGCAAAAGAAUACCACUCAGAUAUUCCGCAAAUAAACAGUGGGAACAAGAGCAUCUAGUUCCAGGAAGUGUACGAUGAAGGAUGCCCAGAAGUAAAGGACAAUCACUUGGCGGGAUCAGCAAAAGUACACUGUUACUGCCGCGGAGAACUAUGCAACAAAUCAAGGUCUGCCCUCGCAUUGACCCAAAUAUGGGGAUCCUUGAUUGUUUUGCUUCAAGCCUUGUGGCUCAUGCAUUCUCCAAGUACCUAAUCCUGCUGAGUGAAAAUUAUAAUCAAAUAUAUUAAAAAUGCUUUAUUGUGAUAAAUGAUUAUAAAUAUGCAAAUUUAACAUACGAGUAAAUGUUGCAUAAUUCGUUAAAGUA